rnacentral:rRNA from 1 species
GUUGAACGCUGGCGGCAUGCCUUACACAUGCAAGUCGAACGGCAGCGGGGGAGAAGCUUGCUUUUCCUGCCGGCGAGUGGCGAACGGGUGAGUAAUACAUCGGAACGUGCCCUGUAGUGGGGGAUAACUAGUCGAAAGAUUAGCUAAUACCGCAUACGACCUGAGGGUGAAAGUGGGGGACCGCAAGGCCGAAUGCCACAGGGGGGGCCGAUGUCGGAUUAGCAAGUUGGUGGGGUAAAGGCCUACCAAGGAGACGAUCAGUAGCUGGUCUGAGAGGACGAUCAGCCACACGGGGACUGAGACACGGCCCAGACUCCUACGGGAGGCAGCAGUGGGGAAUUUUGGACAAUGGGCGAAAGCCUGAUCCAGCAAUGCCGCGUGUGUGAAGAAGGCCUUCGGGUUGUAAAGCACUUUUGUCCGGAAAGAAAUGGCUCUGGUUAAUACCUGGGGUCGAUGACGGUACCGGAAGAAUAAGGACCGGCUAACUACGUGCCAGCAGCCGCCGUAA